CAUUCUAGUAGGACAUUCUACCAGCUAGCCAAUCUAGGCAUGGCUGAGGGAAUUGCCCUUGGUGAGAGAGGAGUGAACUAUUUCUCCUUUCUCCCUUUCAUUGACCAGAGAAUGACCGUGUGAAUUUCAGAAGGUCAGAAGUUUUGAACUUCCAUUGGUAGUAGAGUCUCCCUGGAACAACAUCGGCUGAUGGCAGUGUCUGAAUUGGGAGCUGAAAGAAGCCAAAACCAAACUAGGCAUAAUGAGGAUGAGCAGAGAGCUACACCCAAGAGGAAUUUCAUGAGGAGGUGAGGUAAGCCUUGAAGACACCUAAGGAUCUUAAAGAAGAGGAGGUGAGGAAGGAAUUCAUUCCAGGAAUGGAGGAGAAGACUGGGAUAAAGCAUGCUGGGGAGAAGUGGAAUGCUGAUUUCUCACAGCAGCCAGCAGGCCACAAGAGUGCAUGAUAGGGAACAUGUCUGAAAUAAGGUUUGAACAAUGAAAAAAGGUAAUGCUACAACAUGGCAGAUGAGUUCAGAAAGUGCCUCAGUCAGCAACACCGGCUUAAAAUGCAAACUCAUGAUGGAUCUCAGAUAGCAAAGAGAAACUGUGUAGGUAAAAACCGUGCCAAAGAGAUGCUGGACUUGGGUUUGGAUCCUUUCUCAGCCACUUGCUAAGAUAGGCGA